rnacentral:rRNA from 1 species
GCUCAACCGGGGAGGGUCAUUGGAAACUGGGGAACUUGAGUGCAGAAGGGGAGAGUGGAAUUCCACGUGUAGCGGUGAAAUGCGUAGAGAUGUGGAGGAACACCAGUGGCGAAGGCGACUCUCUGGUCUGUAACUGACGCUGAGGCGCGAAAGCGUGGGGAGCGAACAGGAUUAGAUACCCUGGUAGUCCAUGCCGUAAACGAUGAGUGCUAAGUGUUAGAGGGUUUCCGCCCUUUAGUGCUGCAGCAAACGCAUUAAGCACUCCGCCUGGGGAGUACGGUCGCAAGACUGAAACUCAAAGGAAUUGACGGGGGCCCGCACAAGCGGUGGAGCAUGUGGUUUAAUUCGAAGCAACGCGAAGAACCUUACCAGGUCUUGACAUCCUCUGACAACCCUAGAGAUAGGGCUUCCCCUUCGGGGGCAGAGUGACAGGUGGUGCAUGGUUGUCGUCAGCUCGUGUCGUGAGAUGUUGGGUUAAGUCCCGCAACGAGCGCAACCCUUGAUCUUAGUUGCCAGCAUUCAGUUGGGCACUCUAAGGUGACUGCCGGUGACAAACCGGAGGAAGGUGGGGAUGACGUCAAAUCAUCAUGCCCCUUAUGACCUGGGCUACACACGUGCUACAAUGGGCAGAACAAAG